CACGUAGGGGGCGAGCGUUGUCCGGAUUCAUUGGGCGUAAAGCGCGCGCAGGCGGCUCGGAAAGUCGGGUGUGAAAACUCGGGGCUCAACCCCGGGCGUGCAUCCGAUACUGCCGGGCUUGAGGCAGGUAGGGGAGAUCGGAAUUCCUGGUGUAGCGGUGAAAUGCGCAGAUAUCAGGAAGAACACCGGUGGCGAAGGCGGUUCUCUGGGAAUGUACUGACGCUGAGGAGCGAAAGUGUGGGGAGCGAACAGG
rnacentral:rRNA from 1 species